rnacentral:rRNA from 1 species
UACGUAGGGGGCAAGCGUUGUCCGGAUUUAUUGGGCGUAAAAGGCUUGUAGGUGGCCACGCCAAGUCGGAUGUGAAAUCUCCCGGCUCAACUGGGAGGGGUCAUUCGAUACUGGCGGGCUCGAGGCCGGUAGGGGGAAGUGGAAUUCCCGGUGUAGCGGUGAAAUGCGUAGAUAUCGAGAGGAACACCUGCGGCGAAGGCGGGUUGCUGGGCUGAUACUGACGCUGAGGCGCGAAAGCCAGGGGAGCGAACGGG